GAUGAACGCUGGCGGCGUGCUUAACACAUGCAAGUCGAACGAAGCACUCUAUUUGAUUUUCUUCGGAAAUGAAGAUUUUGUGACUGAGUGGCGGACGGGUGAGUAACGCGUGGGUAACCUGCCUCAUACAGGGGGAUAACAGUUGGAAACGACUGCUAAUACCGCAUAAGCGCACAGGAUCGCAUGAUCCGGUGUGAAAAACUCCGGUGGUAUGGGAUGGACCCGCGUCUGAUUAGCCAGUUGGCAGGGUAACGGCCUACCAAAGCGACGAUCAGUAGCCGACCUGAGAGGGUGACCGGCCACAUUGGGACUGAGACACGGCCCAAACUCCUACGGGAGGCAGCAGUGGGGAAUAUUGCACAAUGGGGGAAACCCUGAUGCAGCGACGCCGCGUGAGCGAAGAAGUAUUUCGGUAUGUAAAGCUCUAUCAGCAGGGAAGAAGAAUGACGGU
rnacentral:rRNA from 1 species